rnacentral:rRNA from 1 species
CCUACGGGUGGCAGCAGUGUGGAAUAUUGGACAAUGGGCGAAAGCCUGAUCCAGCCAUGCCGCGUGUGUGAAGAAGGCCUUCGGGUUGUAAAGCACUUUCAGUGGGGAAGAAAGCCUUGGGGCUAAUACCCUCGAGGAAGGACAUCACCCACAGAAGAAGCACCGGCUAACUCCGUGCCAGCAGCCGCGGUAAUACGGAGGGUGCGAGCGUUAAUCGGAAUUACUGGGCGUAAAGCGCGCGUAGGCGGUCUGAUAAGCCGGUUGUGAAAGCCCCGGGCUCAACCUGGGAACGGCAUCCGGAACUGUCAGGCUAGAGUGCAGGAGAGGAAGGUAGAAUUCCCGGUGUAGCGGUGAAAUGCGUAGAGAUCGGGAGGAAUACCAGUGGCGAAGGCGGCCUUCUGGACUGUCACUGACGCUGAGGUGCGAAAGCGUGGGUAGCAAACAGGAUUAGAUACCCUAGUCGUC